ensembl:lncRNA
AUGAGCAGUAUUCAAAAAGUAACUUAUAUAAAGUUUAAGUGUGUUCUAAGCAAUAUCCUCAUUAUUUCAUUAUCUCAGUCUCACCGGCCGUUUCCUCAUUACCUCUCAAGGCUCACGGAUCACAAAGAUCAGAGUCUGGAUUUGUCAGAUGGUGACUAUGCUAGUGAUGCCCCGAGUGAGACUCAGUUUAAUGAAGAAUAUCACACUUCUACUUCUACGUCCAGUUCUUUAAGCUUCAGCAGCGAUUCUGAACUUAAGAGCUUAGAAGGGUCUAUGGCUAACUGCUCCAAAAAACAGAAAGGGGGACCGACAGUGACUUUAGACAACCUUCUGCUUCUGAGCUCCCCACAAUGGAGUUCCCAAAAGUCAAAGUUACUUCAGAAGACACCACUCAUGGCAUGGGACAAGAGCAACCAGAUACUCCAAUCAGAGGAGAUGGGAGAGCAUGGUUUUAUUGGUGAGGAUGGCUGCAGACCUUUGCUCAGGUUUAAGAAAGAACUGAAUGAAUCAACAAGACAUAUUAGACAAGUUUACAUCAUGUCUCAAUGUGUAAGAAUCCACUUUAUUUCUCACACUACUAAAAAUAAAGGUUCCAAAAGGGGGUUUUCACAAUGAUUCCAUAGAAGAACCAUAUUGGGUUCCUCAAAGAACCUUUCACUAAAUAGUUCUAAUGUGAACAUUUUAAGAACCUUUUUCCACUUUAAAGAACUUUUUGUGCAGUGGAAAUUUUUUAUAGAUGUUUAAUUUUCUUCAUGGAACCACUGAUGACAUUGAUUUGUUUUAUACUGUCUUAUCCUUACAAAUGUUAUGAUUAAAUCUUUGUGCAUGUACUGUAGGAUCUGAGACUGCAGAUCUCAUCUCUGAAGCAGCAGUUGAUGGAGUGGGAGUCUCACUGGUCGCAGGCCCACAGUCUCCUCCAGAGCCGUGUUGAAGCCUUCACUCGAUAAAAAACAGGAGCUUCACAGCAGGCUUAAUGUGAACAAGAGAUCACACCAGAGUGCUGGCUCCUCUGCUCCUCAGUCUGGAUCAUAUAACAAGGUCAGAGCAAAUUCAAACCACUAUUUUUCAACUAAAAAUAUCUAAACCUAUAUGGAACAUAUACACAUAUGUUGUACUUCAGUUUGAGCAGAGAAGAGAAGAACCACAGCGGACCCGUCAUGUAAGGAGCCCAGCUCCGGCCUUUAACAAACCCUUCAUCCAUAGGACACAGCAGGACAAUGUUAGUAUGCUAACAUCAUAAAUGUGCAUUGAUAACAACAAGAACAGUUUUUCAAUCUGUAGAACAUUUUUAUGGCUUUAAGCUAAAUAUAUCCUUAUUUAUUUUUAGUCAUUUUUAAUAAGACUAGAUUUAGUCACAACUACAGUAGUUGAGCUAAACUCAUUUCCUGUAAACCCGUUGAGGUGUGUAAUAUGUUCUCGAUUGCCUUUAAACUCCUCCGAAAUAAUGAUGAUCAUGAUGACUCUCAAAGCCCAGUGUCAGAUAAUUGACUCAGUUCUUUAUAACUAAUUCAUGCAUGUGUAAUGCAUCUACCCAUCUCCAUUUCAUACAGUGUACAUGUUAAAUCCUGAUUUUAUAUUGUAAUUGUUUGCCCUGUUUAUAAUUUAUAAACACAUA